GACAGAGGAUGCAAGCGUUAUCCGGAAUGAUUGGGCGUAAAGCGUCUGUAGGUGGCUUUUUAAGUCCGCCGUCAAAUCCCAGGGCUCAACCCUGGACAGGCGGUGGAAACUACCAAGCUGGAGUACGGUAGGGGCAGAGGGAAUUUCCGGUGGAGCGGUGAAAUGCGUAGAGAUCGGAAAGACCACCAAUGGCGAAGGCACUCUACUGGGCCAUAACUGACACUAAGAGACGAAAGCUAGGGGAGCAAAUGGG
rnacentral:rRNA from 1 species